UACAGAGGUCCCAAGCGUUGUUCGGAUUCACUGGGCGUAAAGGGUGCGUAGGUGGUCGGGUAAGUCUGAUGUGAAAGCUCUGGGCUCAACCCAGAAAUGGCAUUGGAUACUAUCUGGCUAGAGGAAUGGAGGGGGACUGGAAUACUUGGUGUAGCAGUGAAAUGCGUAGAUAUCAAGUGGAACACCAGUGGCGAAGGCGAGUCCCUGGACAUUUCCUGACACUGAGGCACGAAAGCUAGGGGAGCAAACGGG
rnacentral:rRNA from 1 species